GGAAUCUUCCACAAUGGGCGAAAGCCUGAUGGAGCAACGCCGCGUGUGUGAUGAAGGCUUUCGGGUCGUAAAGCACUGUUGUAUGGGAAGAACAGCUAGAAUAGGAAAUGAUUUUAGUUUGACGGUACCAUACCAGAAAGGGACGGCUAAAUACGUGCCGG
rnacentral:rRNA from 1 species